GAGACAGGUGGUGCAUGGUUGUCGUCAGCUCGUGUCGUGAGAUGUUGGGUUAAGUCCCGCAACGAGCGCAACCUUGUGUUUAGUUGCAAACAGGUCAAGCUGUGCACUCUAGACAGACUGCCGUGGACAACACGGAGGAAGGUGGGGAUGACGUCAAAUCAUCAUGCCCCUUAUGAUCUGGGCUACACACGUGCUACAAUGGCCGGUACAACGGGCAGCGAAGGAGCGAUCCGGAGCGAAUCCUAAAAAGCCGGUCCCAGUUCGGAUUGCAGGCUGAAACUCGCCUACAUGAAGUUGGAGUUGCUAGUAAUCGCGAAUCAGAAUGUCGCGGUGAAUGCGUUCCCGGGUCUU
rnacentral:rRNA from 1 species